rnacentral:lncRNA from 12 species
GCUGUGAGAUGAGAACAGAGACACACUGAGCUUUAACCACUAACCAUCAACCACCUGCUGACUGACGAGAAAACAUCAUUAGCUUGUGAGGGACAAAGACAAACUGAACCACGGUGAUCUGAACUGAAGACAGAGACUGUAACACAUUUCAGUUUCAUUCAGGAAAAUUAUACUGGAACAACAGUCUGGGCUGUGAGAUGAGAACAGAGACACACUGAGCUUUAACCACUAACCAUCAACCACCUGCUGACUGACGAGAAAACAUCAUUAGCUUGCGAGGGACAAAGACAAACUGAAC